ACGGGAGGCAGCAGUAGGGAAUUUUCGGCAAUGGGCGGAAGCCUGACCGAGCAACGCCGCGUGAAGGAAGAAGGUCUUCGGAUUGUAAACUUCUGUUGUGUAGGAAGAACGGCCAUAUCAGGGAAUGGAUAUGGAGUGACGGUACUAUACGAGGAAGCCACGGCUAACUACGUGCCAGCAGCCGCGGUAAUACGUAGGUGGCAAGCGUUAUCCGGAAUUAUUGGGCGUAAAGAGGGAGCAGGCGGCAGCAAAGGUCCGAGGUAAAAGCCUGAAGCUCAACUUCAGCGAGCCUUGGAAACCGAGCAGCUAGAGGCCAGUAGAGGAAUGCGGAAUUCCAUGUGUAGCGGUGAAAUGCGUAGAUAUAUGGAGGAACACCGGUGGCGAAGGCGGCAUUCUGGGCUGGAACUGACGCUCAUUCCCGAAAGCGUGGGGAGCAAAUAGGAUUAGAUACCCUGGUA
rnacentral:rRNA from 1 species